GACGAACGCUGGCGGCGUGCUUAACACAUGCAAGUCGAGCGGAGCGGCGAACGGGUGAGUAACGCGUGAGUAACUGCCCCCCUCCCUGGGAUAACAGUUGGAUACGGCUGCCAAUACCGGAUAGUGGGGGAUGACUCGCGUCCUAUCGGCUUGUUGGUGGGGUAGUGGCCUACCAAGGCGACGACGGGGAGCCGGCCUGUGAGGGGGACCGGCCACAUUGGGCUGAGGUACGACCCAGACGCCUACGGGGGGCAGCGGUGGGGAAUAUUGCACAAUGGGGGAAACCGUGAUGCAGCAACGCGCGUGCGGGAUGACGGCCUUGGGGUUGUGAACCGCUUUCGGUCAUGACGCGGUAGUGGCAGAAGAAGCACCGGCUAACUACGUGCCAGCAGCCGCGGUAAUUC
rnacentral:rRNA from 1 species